rnacentral:rRNA from 1 species
GUAGGUGGCAAGCGUUGUCCGGAAUUAUUGGGCGUAAAGCGCGCGCAGGCGGUUCUUUAAGUCUGAUGUGAAGGCCCACGGCUCAACCGUGGAGGGUCAUUGGAAACUGGAGAACUUGAGUACAGAAGAGGAAAGCGGAAUUCCACGUGUAGCGGUGAAAUGCGUAGAGAUGUGGAGGAACACCAGUGGCGAAGGCGGCUUUCUGGUCUGUAACUGACGCUGAGGCGCGAAAGCGUGGGGAGCAAACAGGAUUAGAUACCCUGGUAGUCCACGCCGUAAACGAUGAGUGCUAAGUGUUAGGGGGGCUUCCGCCCCUUAGUGCUGCAGCUAACGCAUUAAGCACUCCGCCCUGGGAGUACGGCCGCAAGGCUGA